AUUGGUUCUUGGGAUUCAGUACGUCACAUUGGCUUCCUGAUUCUGUUGUUCGAUACACAACGUGCGUGAUCGUUGGUAAAUGUGGAUUAAAAGUUGAAACUAAAACUGUUAAAUUAUAUAUAGUGAUCAUCAGAGGACUUGGCUGAAACAACGCGAUUCACAUGGAUUACUUCGGCGAUAUUUUUUAUUGCUGUUGCGAUUAACUUUUUGAAAUGUGAGCAGUUUUUAAGUAUCAAGUGGAUCUGACAUCGAGGGGAAAUAUACGUUUCUUGGAUUUCAUUAAAGUACAUCGGUUUUUGUUUGAAGAUGAAUGAGAGAACAUGAGGCACAGCGGCAUUCAAAUUGACCAAUCAGAGCCGAGAAUAUCUAAUAAGUCGAAGUAGAGAUGAACAGAUGAAGAUACAGCCCGUAAAAAUACUUAUUCUUGGUGAGUGCCAUGUAGCGACGGAUCAAACGGACACUCAUGUCAAGCUUGAUGAGGACACAGUCAAAGCUUUAAAAGACCUUGUGAUUAAGUCUUCAGUGUCUGAAUGGCAAGAAGAAGUGACCCUCUACUUAAACGUGACAUUUAAACUGCUCUGUGUUUUGGUUCAGCCAUUUGUAGGUUUAUCUCGAGUAAGUUCAAAUGCACUUCUGCAUUUGUCCAGUAACUUUUUGUUUAGAGAAUUACAUCAUUAUGAUUAUAUAAUUAUUCAAUGGUUGCAUAUUCAUAGUGUACUUUUCAUAUUGAUGUAUUAAUGUUCCACAAUUUGAUAAAAGUAGCUCAUUGCAUUUCACUGAUCUUUGUUUUAUAUUGUAAAAUCAUUUCAAUAGCAGUAAAUACAUACUUAGUUGUUUCUUUAACAUUUAAUUAGUUGUUAAUGAUGGAAGAAACCGGUUCUUAUGUAUGAAUACAGAAUAGGUAUCAUUUUAGAAUGAGUUAAAACAUGUUUUGGUGGCAAACAUGCAGGUAAAAUAGUACAUAUAUAACAUUCUAAUAGUAUACUUGACUGUAAUUCAAAUGUCACAUACAGUACAUUAGAAAUGAUUUAUUUUAUGUAUACAAAUG